rnacentral:rRNA from 1 species
GACAGAGGGUGCAAACGUUGUUCGGAAUUACUGGGCGUAAAGCGCGUGUAGGCGGCUCUGCAAGUCGGGUGUGAAAUCCCAUGGCUCAACCAUGGAAGUGCACUCGAAACUGCAGGGCUAGAGUCCUGGAGAGGAAGGUGGAAUGCUUGGUGUAGAGGUGAAAUUCGUAGAUAUCAAGCGGAACACCGGUGGCGAAGGCGGCCUUCUGGACCAUGACUGACGCUGAGGCGCGAAAGCGUGGGGAGCAAACAGG